AAAAGAAAGAGGCGCCAAUUAACUGCUAGGCUGGAAUUAACUGUACGUUGCAAUUUCUGAAAUGUAAUUUUCGCUCAGAUACGACAGCAACAUUCCUUCAUGAAUUGGUGCCCAAUUUUAAUUUACUGUUUGAUUAAGUUAUUUGCCUCGCAAAUUAAUUAACUGGACACUUGCGCAUCUCUGUCCAGAAAUAUGAUUGGUUCAUAGGGUUAUUUUGUCAUGCAGUUGUCCGCCUUCCUUCCUGGUUUAUUUGGUACGAUUAAUUGUAGUUGUGUGUACUAUAUGACUAUCAGGUUAUUCUAGUGCAGACUGAUCUUCUUGAUACAAAACGAACUGCUUAAUGUGGGUUCAUUAUUAUUCUAUUAUAUUAGUAAUUGUAUAUUAUUAUUAAUUUUAAAUGUGUGUCACAUUGUCCUCACAUAGGCUCAGUUUAGUAAAAAUACAAAGUGAGCAGGAUGCAAACAUUCAAACGACCGAUCUGCCUUCUAACUCUGCUAUGAUCAAAAUACAUCCAACAGAGGGAGCCUUUGGCUUAUGUUUUUCCCACAUCCGGAACAACAUGGCUUUCCAAAAAUAGUGAAGGUCCCACACUGGUGUAUUGUGCCUAAUAUUAAACAUUUAAGGCCACUCCCACUUUUGUGAGACACUUUGGAAGGCAUGUCCUUCAGGAGGAGUUGCUUAGUGCAAGUUCAUCCCUGCGGUUAUUGGCUUUUGGAGGAGAGUCAUGUCCAUCGUUAAGUCGUCUCAAGAGCUGAAAGCAUGAAGGCAAUGGCACACAUAUCUGUAAUCUUUACGGCACCACAGACGUUUCUUGCUGGGCAAGCUGGUACAAAGUCCCAGACGAACACCUGUGCUUGGAGUACACAUCAUUGAGAAUUUGCCUCUGGUGGAGGCUUUUGCGGUGAGCCUUACUGAGGGUGACAGGCUGAUGGCAUUUAUAGUGCUCACAUCAGGGCAACCAGGAACCCUUUCAUCCUCUGCAUUUUCUCAUCAAAAACCUUUCCAUCAUUCUACACAGUCCUCUGAAGACCUCAACACUGUUGACGCCUCAAGAAACUCCUCCUCCCCCUCACUCAGGUUUAUUGAAGAUGAGAUUUGCAAGAGGUUAUCACAGCUUUUGGCCAGUCACAGCAUUCCUAGUCUUGCAUAGCCAGACCUUCAGACUGACAGCUAAAGGGCUGGAAUCGAUGGCAGCUUUCAUUGUCCAAGGCCCGCCAUGAGGCCAUUUGAUGACAUUGGUUAACAUUAAUUAAAUUAUUAGGGAUACUUCAAAGGACAAUCUAAAUCUAAUAAUUUAAUUUAAUUUAAAUGAACCUUUUAUGCUAGUAACUGUUUGUUGUAUGUUUUUAUACUUUUGAUUGUACAUUGUUUAUAUCCCAAAAUGUUAAUUUAUAUGUUUUUAUAUACAUUUCAUUAAUGAAUAUGAAAUUAUUUAAAAAUAUUUUUUUAAGCAAUUAAAAAACAUAAGAGGCUAAAAAAAAUGACUGUUCUAAAAUAUUAUUAUUGGACAUUUUCAUUUUGUUUCAUUAAGCUUUGGCAUUUCUAUCACAAAUAAACCUGCAAACAUGUUUUUUCAUUGUAGACAUAGAUUUCAAGUAAUUUUUAUAUUCCUGUUGCAUGUAUUUUUAGGUAAAUAGCCAUUGAGCAUUUGAUGAGGAUGUGUGACACUCAAAAACAAAACAUAAAUACACAACAACUGUAUGGAAAGACAUUGAGUCUGUGAGACCGAAGUUACAGACCCUGUGAAAGGUAUAAAUAACUUUUGUUCUUUUUGAACAAAAUGUAUUAGUAAUAAUUGUUUGACACAUGAAGGGAAUUUAUUAAAUAAUAUAUUUUCUAUUGCCUACUGAGUGAAACUAAUAUUGUGUGCUUGUCUGUGUCUUGGCCUGCUGAAAGACGUGGUGGUUGAGAAAGAUGCACACUUCAUGUUAAGUGAAGGAGACUCCCUAUAGGCCCUGCAUCUGUUUUAUGUGGUCACUGUUGCCAUGGGGACAACCUCUGUGGGCCUGCUGGAGGUCAUAUUAGAUGGCUCUUUCUCAGAUGUGGUUAGCCACGUCAUGACAGAAACACUUAAUGCAAUCUAGCCAUCAAAGAAGAGAAUGCUGAAUGAUUCAGGCUCUUUAGUUUCACCUAAAAGACAACAAAAUGAAAUGACCAGAGUGAAUGCUAUAGAAAGCACAGUGGGUUUUGUAGUUCCCUCAAUGAGCAGGACCAUGGGAUUAUAGUUGUGAGA